AUUGAACGCUGGCGGCAGGCCUAAUACAUGCAAGUCGAACGAGUGGCGGAAGGGAGAGUAAUGCUUGGGAACCUAGCUUAUGGAGGGGGUAAACUACGGGAAACUGUAGCUAAUACCGCGCAACAUAGGAUGAGCCCUAGUGGGAUGGGGUAGUGGGUGAGGUAAAGGCUCACCAAGCCGACGAUCCCUAGUUGGUCUGAGAGGAUGACCGGCCACACUGGGACUGAGACACGGCCCAGACUCCUACGGGAGGCAGCAGUGGGGAAUAUUGCGCAAUGGGGGCAACCUGACGGAGCCAUGCCGCGUGAGUGAAGAAGGCCUUCGGAUUGUAAAGUUCUUUCGGUAGCGAGGCGUUAACUACAGAGGAAGCACCGGCUAACUACGUGCCAGCAGCCGCGGUAAUAC
rnacentral:rRNA from 1 species